rnacentral:rRNA from 1 species
AAAAUUAAAAGGACGCGGUAACCUUGACCGUGAUAAUGUAGCAUAAUCAUUCGCCAUUUAAUUGAUGGAUAGUAUGAAUGGUUGAACGAAUAUUUCACUGUCUUAAAAAGAAAUUUAAAAAAAUUAGAAUAAUAGUAAAGAUACUAUUUAAUAUUGUAAGACGAAAAGACCCUAUAGAGCUUAACUAUAGUCUUCUUAAAAAACCCUGAAAUAUUUUUCAGUUAAUAAGAAGAUUGGUAGUUUAGUUGGGGCGACUAUCUUUUAAAAUAAACAAAGAUAAGCAAAGUAAAUAAAAAACUUAUUGUAUAAUACAUAAAUUUAACAAUUAUAAACAUAGGCUAUAAUGACCCGUUAUAAUCUUAUAAAAAGACGUAACGAUCAAUAAAUAAAAGCUACCUUAGGGAUAACAGGAUAAUUUUAUUCUAGAGAUCUAAUCGAAAAUAAAGUUUGUCACCUCUAUGUUGAAUUAAGA